UACAUAACACCGUCUCCUUCAAAACUGUCCUCUUCCAGAAAUGGGUGCUCUAGCCCCCAAAUAAAUACCGAAAGUUCUCUCUGAGGCUCCAAGCUCCCCUUGGAUUUGCCUUGGAGCCCUUACAAAGAAUUCAGCAGGUGACAUCACGGAGGCUGCUGGUCUCUCAGAAUGGAGCUCAUGGGUUCUCCUGAGAGAAUUCGGAAGUUGCAGCUUAGCCAUGUUCCCUUCGCACAGGACUGCUCUUCGGGUGGGUGGCACUGAACGUCUAUUUAGAGCUAAUUGCUGAAGGAGCCAAGUGAUCGCUGAGAGAAAAAAAUCAGAAACAGCUAGGUGGCACAUUAGUCUCGGCAUGUCAGAGACAUCCGUGUGGAGAAGGAAGAAAGAUUCUUGGACAGUUUCUGCUUCACAGAGCUCAGGCAUUUAGAAUUCUUUCAGAUGUCGGGUGCAAAGUCCUUCUGACAUGUACGCUCAAAUGAUGGUCUCGGGUGACAGGACCAAGCAAGGGUAUUUCAAAUCGGGCACUGGCUUUGCUAGUCUGCCUGUGUAGCUCCUAAACUCACUGCUCUCACUUAAAGGAGACCUGCUCUGAAGAGGCAUGGAUGCCUUAGAAGAGAUCCAGAUGAGUACUGUCUGCGUGUUGUGUCCAGACUAGUAGGUCACAUUCCAAUAGGGAGAGCCUAGCUUAUGAAGGCCUGGAUUGUCCUGUCACCGGCCCACCCCUGCCCCUGGGCAUUCAGUUCCUAAUAUGUCUUCUGCACAAGACCAGGAGAAAGGGGCAAUUUCCUGUCCUACUGUCCUGACUGUCCUAGGAGCCAGAGGCUAGCUGUCACCUUCCUCUGACUUCACUGACACACGAACCUGAACAGGCUCCGCUUAACAGGGAGGUUGAAACCAGGAUUCAGAAGCUGCCAGAAACUUGAGAUCACUCGGGGCACUUGCACUGCCUCCUUCAGCGAGUCUCCCGUGCGGUCAAACCCAACAGGGCAUUGGCAUGGAACCCUGUCCUCUGCCAUCACAUCAAGUCACUCCUUAAGGGUCGAUGCAGUCCCCAACAUGUGCUCUACUUAAGCGAGUUAGGCAACAAAUGUCUAAAAACGCCUCUGAAACAAUACAGAACUUCACACCAGGUAAUUGCCUUCGAGCGCAGACCCAAGGCUCGGUAUGGAGAAACUGAAUUAGAGAGGAGGGGCAGCGUGGAGAAGGGGAGGAGACAGAGCACGUUACAGUCCACGAAGUGUGUGGAUAAACCGAUCUUCGUUGUGGUGCUGACUUCAUUAUUAAGUUCGGUGUGACUCUGGAAGGGGAAAGCACAGGAACAUUGACCGAGUUCCUCCAGCGCUAGGCUAAGAAGGUCCUGUGUUCUCACUCCCCAUCACUUCACUUUCUCAGUUCCAUGUGGCUUAGAGGAUUCCCAUUUUAUAGAGGAAAAGGCUGAGUCUUGGAGCAGCUACAGAGUAUCUCUAGCUCCCUCACUUACUACAGAUUCAGAAGACCUCAUUUUUUACAAGGUCUUUAGAGUAUAUGAGGUAGUCUUUGUGAAGAUCUAGCCGUUCUGGACAUACGGACACUCAGGGCAUCCAGGAUCUGCCAUCCAUUAGAAGUAAAGAUGAGUCCUUGCCUGGCCUUCAGUCUUCCAUCUCCAGUCAGCCCUCCUAAUCCUGCUGCUAGAGAGGGCCUCUGUCUACUCCUGGAAUGCUCGCCUGCAGUGCCCAUCCUUCAAACUAUCCUAUUUAAGACUGCAACCCGUCAUUCUCCUCUCCCCUGUAUCUUCAACCCUCCAUAGCACUCACCACCAUAUAAAACAACUUGUGAUUUUU